UACGUAGGGAGCAAGCGUUGUCCGGAAUCAUUGGGCGUAAAGCGCGCGUAGGCGGCCCUGUAAGUCCGCUGUGAAAGUCAAAGGCUCAACCUUUGAAAGCCGGUGGAUACUGCAGGGCUAGAGUCCGGAAGAGGCGAGUGGAAUUCCCGGUGUAGCGGUGAAAUGCGCAGAUAUCGGGAGGAACACCAAUGGCGAAGGCAGCUCGCUGGGACGGUACUGACGCUGAGGCGCGAAGGCCAGGGGAGCAAACGGG
rnacentral:rRNA from 1 species